UAGUCCACGCCGUAAACGAUGGACACUAGUUGUUGGGGUUUACCUCAGUGACUAAGCGAAAGUGAUAAGUGUCCCACCUGGGGAGUUCGUUCGCAAGAAUGAAACUCAAAGGAAUUGACGGGGGCCCGCACAAGCGGUGGAGCAUGUGGUUUAAUUCGAUGAUACGCGAGAAACCUUACCAGGGCUUAAAUGCAGUCUGACAGCUUUAGAGAUGGAGUUUUCUUCGGACAGAUUGCAAGGUGCUGCAUGGUUGUCGUCAGCUCGUGCCGUGAGGUGUCAGGUUAAGUCCUAUAACGAGCGCAACCCCUGUUGUUAGUUGCCAGUGAGUAAUGUCGGGAACUCUAGCAAGACUGCCGGUGCAAACCGUGAGGAAGGUGGGGAUGACGUCAAAUCAUCACGGCCCUUACGUCCUGGGCUACACACGUGCUACAAUGGUAGGGACAGAGAGCAGCCACUGCGCGAGCAGGAGCGAAUCUAUAAACCCUAUCACAGUUCGGAUCGG
rnacentral:rRNA from 1 species